rnacentral:rRNA from 1 species
CCAGACUCCUACGGGAGGCAGCAGUGGGGAAUAUUGCACAAUGGGGGAAACCCUGAUGCAGCAACGCCGCGUGAGUGAAGAAGUCAUUCGUGAUGUAAAGCUCUAUCAGCAGGGAAGAAAAUGACGGUACCUGAGUAAGAAGCCCCGGCUAACUACGUGCCAGCAGCCGCGGUAAUACGUAGGGGGCAAGCGUUAUCCGGAUUUACUGGGUGUAAAGGGGGCGCAGACGGCAGCGCAAGCCAGGAGUGAAAGCCCGGGGCCCAACCCCGGGACUGCUCUUGGAACUGCGCGGCUGGAGUGCAGGAGGGGCAGGCGGAAUUCCUGGUGUAGCGGUGAAAUGCGUAGAUAUUAGGAGGAACACCAGUGGCGAAGGCGGCCUGCUGGACGACAACUGACGGUGAGGCGCGAAAGCGUGGGGAGCGAACAGGAUUAGAUACCCUCGUAA